rnacentral:rRNA from 1 species
GAUGAACGCUGGCUACAGGCUUAACACAUGCAAGUCGAGGGGAAACGACGGGGAAGCUUGCUUCCCCGGGCGUCGACCGGCGCACGGGCGAGUAACGCGUAUCCAACCUGCCUCUGACUGAGGGAUAACCCGUCGAAAGUCGGCCUAAUACCUCAUGGUAUCGUCUGCGGGCAUCCAACGACGAUUAAAGAUUUCAUCGGUCAGGGAUGGGGAUGCGUCUGAUUAGCUUGUUGGCGGGGUAACGGCCCACCAAGGCUACGAUCAGUAGGGGUUCUGAGAGGAAGGUCCCCCACAUUGGAACUGAGACACGGUCCAAACUCCUACGGGAGGCAGCAGUGAGGAAUAUUGGUCAAUGGGCGAGAGCCUGAACCAGCCAAGUAGCGUGCAGGAAGACGGCCCUAUGGGUUGUAAACUGCUUUUAUGCGGGGAUAAAGUGAGGGACGUGUCCCUCAUUGCAGGUACCGCAUGAAUAAGGACCGGCUAAUUCCGUG